GACAGAGGGUGCAAACGUUGUUCGGAUUUACUGGGCGUAAAGCGCGUGUAGGCGGCUUGGCAAGUCGGAUGUGAAAGCCCACGGCUCAACCGUGGAAGCGCAUCCGAAACUGCUCGCUCGAGUCUCGGAGAGGAAGGUGGAAUGCUUGGUGUAGAGGUGAAAUUCGUAGAUAUCAAGCAGAACACCUGCGGCGAAGGCGGC
rnacentral:rRNA from 1 species